rnacentral:pre_miRNA from 1 species
GAAAUACUCCCUCCGUAUAACAAAAGAUGUCUCAAAUUUGUCAAAAUUUAGAUGUAUCUAGACAUGAUUUUGUGUAUAGAUGCAUUUAAAUAAUUUAGUUAAAGUUGAGACAUCCUCUGCUGGACGAAGGAAGUGGUUA